rnacentral:lncRNA from 1 species
CUUCUGGCUUCCCGGUGGGGGUAUCCAAGGGUCCAUAAACCUCUGCUCUAAAUCGCUGUGUUCAUGGUUAACCUGGUGUAAUUAAUGUGAAAUUCAGCUCCAGAUAUCCAAAAUCUCUACGUGCCAUAAAUAAAUAAAUAAAUAAAUAAAUAAAUAAAAUAUGUGCUUAGAAUCAAGGAGGCAGGCCAGAUUUUCAUGUUAAUGGCUGACGGUGACCCCUCCAAAGGGCAUGCCAAGGGUGAGAGAGGGGAAGCUGUUUCUGACCCCCCAAGCAUAGUACAGGUACUUUCUGCCUCUGUUAUGUUGAAAUUGUGCUCUGAUGAACAAUGGAAAUCAAACAGUGCUACAAAGAGAAAGGAUAGGUAUGUGGAUGAGCAUAGCCCAGUAAUUGAUGGGGAAUGUCUGACACCUACAUUUCUGUUCCUUCCUUCAGGACUGUCUCUCUCUUCUUUUUUUUCUUUCUGCAUUUUUCACUUAAAUUGCCGUAUGCUAUAGCCUCAAGCUGGUGAAGUAAAUAUGAAAAAAAAUCUCAUUAUUCAUUAUGAAUUGUCCACACUUCUAAUAGUAUGGGUAUAUAGAUGCAGGGAGAGUAAUUUUCAUUAAUGCUUAUAAACCAACUUUGUUGUUGGGUUCUCAUAACAACAUAAAUAAUGAACAAUAAUGAACAAAAUUUGUUUUGGUUUAGACAUUUCACUGGAGCUAUAAUCAUGAAAUGAAAAUAUAGUUUUAUACAGUCUCAUUAGUUUUUUUUUGUUGUUGUUCUUUUCUUUUUCUUUAUUUUUUCUUUUCCAUAAAACAAAAUAUAAGCAAUGGGCUUUUCUGUUCCAAAGUAAUCAUUAUUUUUCAGUAUUUCAUUUUCUGCAGUUCUCUCAAAGUGUUCCUGAUAAUAUAGUUAAUCUAGGUAUUUUCAUUCUAGUGACAUAUUAUACGUUAAGUUAACCUUCAAUAUUACUAGGUAUAUUUUCAUAGUUCUAGCUCAGCACAAUUUCUCUUCACUUAACAAUUUCUAAUUUAAAGCUUUCUUUACAGUAAUAAAUUCUAACCUUUGCCUUCUGGCA